AAACCAUGAUGAGGGCAUCUUAACAAUAAAUCUUUAAAUCUUUCCCAACAUUCAUAAAAUUUCUCAUUACUUUUUUCAAAAUAUUCAGAGAUUUCUCUCCUCAAAUU